UACGUAGGAGGCGAGCGUUGUCCGGAAUCACUGGGCUUAAAGCGCGUGUAGGCGGACGGGGACGUCGGUCGCUGAAAUCCCCCGGCUCAACCGGGGAACGGGCGCCGAAACGCCCCGUCUCGAGGGACGUAGGGGGACCUGGAACUUCCGGUGGAGCGGUGAAAUGCGUAGAGAUCGGAAAGAACACCAACGGCGAAAGCACUCUGCUGGGCCGACACUGACACUGAGAGACGAAAGCUAGGGGAGCGAAUGGG
rnacentral:rRNA from 1 species